CUUAAAUUAGCAAGCGGCGUGGUGUUUGGUGUUGGGAUGGACGUUAAGAGGACAAAUAAGUAUAACGGGAUCAAUAUCGGGAGAUGCUUGAUGGUGCUUGCUCCUGUUCGUCGCGUAUGGAUGAUCAGACCAAAGUUGCGGUAUGUCAAAGGAUGAACUAUGUACAUGUGCGUUAGAGGGGAGAGGGAUCAGUGAAUACAGCAUAGAUAUAACUUCUGGCGAGCAACGAGGACAGUGUUUCUAGACAUCUAUAGCAUCUACGUUGACAAAUUAUUCGUAGCUAACAGUUCUGUUUUACAGAAACAAAAUAAUAUUAAAAAAAAGUAAAAAAGAGAGAAAACAGAAAUAGGAAUAUAUACAAUGUACAAUAGUUCAUUUACAGUUCCAAACAUUCAAUAGGUUAACAAGGUGAGGACAAAAUACAACUAGGAUUCUAACUUGUUUUUUCUAAGUUUCAUAGCAUUGUAUAUUAAUUUUGCUGUAUUUCGUACUUUACUUUCUCUCUUUUCAGACAUAAUGUAUUUGAAUUUUGUAAUAUUUGGCCAGUUCGAUGAAAUGUUCUAAUCUUUUUUCAGAUCUUAAUAGGCAGUACAACAUAAUAAAAAGUGGUAUUCCGAUUCAAAAACAUUUUGCAUACAAAGUAUACAUAUCAUGUUUAACCUGUCUAUAUUGUUAUAUCUACCAGUUUCAAUCUCAAGGGUAUGCGAUGAAAGUCUGAAACGGGUUUUUAAGUGUUAUUUGUAUAAUGAAUGAAGUAUAAAAACACAGUCAGUCGU